GUGCUCACUACAGCAGCACAUAUACUAAAAUUGGAAUGACACAGAGAAGAUUAGCAUGGCCCCUGCUCAAGGACAACAUGCAAACUCGUGAAGCAAAUUUGU